rnacentral:rRNA from 1 species
UACCAAGAGAUUAAGUUAUAUUAUAGCGGUAAAAAGACAGUUAGAUAAAAAAUUUAGUCAACCAAUGAUGAUAUAAAGAAGUGAAAUUCGAAUAUAUGUAUUUAAACUAGAACUGACUAAUAUAUUGAAUCUGUGAUAGCCUUGAGGGAAACUGGGAUUGGAUACCCCACUAUUCAUGGCUGUAAACUAAUAAGAUUUACCGGAGCACUACGAAUUAAAAAAUUUAAAACUCAAAGGACUUGGCGGUGCUUUAGACCACUUAGGGGAACCUGUCUCGUAAUCGACAAUCCACGAUAGACCUGACCUUUUUUUGCAAACAGCCUGUAUACCGUCGUCGUCAGGUAACUUUUCAAAAUCUAUAAGUUAGCAAAUAAACCUAAUAAAUUAAAACGUCAGAUCAAGGUGCAGCCGAUAAAAAGGAGAGGAUGGGUUACAAUUAUUAAAAUUAUAAUACGAACGAUUGUAAGAAUUUAGAAUCCGAAGGAGGACUUAAAAGUAAGAUAGAAUAAAUAAGCAUUCUGAAUCUGGCUCUGAGGCGUGC